CGGGAAUGACGAUGGGUACAUAAGCGAAGGCGAGAUGGAUGAUCUUGUUGAAUACGUUUGGCAAUGUGUUUACACCGUUUCCUAACUAAUUAAUCUCAUGAUAACCAUUGGGGCUUGGGAUUUGGCAACUGGCGAGAGAAAAGCAUUUUAGCUCUCCCUACCAAGUUCCUUAUUAUUAUUUUUAAACUACUAUGGUAAUUUCUGUAUUUCAGAGAGAAAUCCCAAGAAUUUUGGGCAUCUAUUACUUU
rnacentral:lncRNA from 1 species